rnacentral:rRNA from 1 species
UACGUAGGGUGCGAGCGUUAAUCGGAAUUACUGGGCGUAAAGGGUGCGUAGGUGGUUUUUUAAGUCCGUUGUGAAAUCCCUGGGCUCAACCUGGGAAUGGCAGUGGAUACUGGAAAGCUAGAGUGCGGUAGAGGGUAGUGGAAUUCCCGGUGUAGCAGUGAAAUGCGUAGAGAUCGGGAGGAACACCAGUGGCGAAGGCGGCUACCUGGACCAGCACUGACACUGAAGCACGAAAGCGUGGGGAGCAAACAGG